rnacentral:rRNA from 1 species
UACGUAGGGUCCGAGCGUUGUCCGGAAUUAUUGGGCGUAAAGGGCUCGUAGGCGGUUUGUCGCGUCGGGAGUGAAAACUCAGGGCUUAACCCUGAGCGUGCUUCCGAUACGGGCAGACUAGAGGUAUGCAGGGGAGAACGGAAUUCCUGGUGUAGCGGUGGAAUGCGCAGAUAUCAGGAGGAACACCGGUGGCGAAGGCGGGUCUCUGGGCCAUUACUGACGCUGAGGAGCGAAAGCGUGGGGAGCGAACAGG